AACCCACCAACAAAUUAAAAACAAAUAUUUAUUCAAUCAUUUUUUGUGAGUUUCCGGUUUUGCCCACAGAAGCCUCAGUCCCCGCUGUCCUUUCCUCUUCUCUCCUCCGCCGCUCGAUCGCCGCCGGCGCAUUUUAGCAUCACCAACCGCGUCAACACAUACGAUGGACGUCCGAAGGCGAUCGACGAUGGAUACACCUGCCACCAAGGCCAGAAGUGGGCCGAUGAAGGUGAAAGUGGUGGACCACGAGGGCGACGUUGGUGUCGUCGGGGCCAAGGCCUCCGACGCCCUGCCGCUGCCGUUGUACCUGACUAACGCCGUCUUCUUCACUCUCUUCUUCUCCGUCGUCUACUUCCUCCUUACUCGUUGGCGCGAGAAGAUCAGGACCUCGACGCCGCUCCACGUCGUGAACCUUUCCGAGAUCGUCGCGAUACUCGCGUUCGUCGCCUCCUUCAUCUACUUGCUCGGAUUCUUCGGGAUCGAUUUCGUGCAGUCGCUCAUUCUCCGCCCCAGCAAUGACGUCUGGGCCGCCGACGAUGACGAGGAGGAGCACGAGCGCUUGAUAUUGAAGGACGACGCCCGGAAAGUGCCGUGUGGGGCCGGACUCGACUGCAGCCCAAUUCCCCAAAUUGCCCCUGUUGCUGCUGCCGCCCCCAAAGCUGUUGCACAGAAGGUGUUUGAUAAAGAGGUAGUCCUCUCCACUCCCUGCGAUUUCACCGCCCAGCCGUUGACGGAGGAAGAU
rnacentral:lncRNA from 1 species